UACGAGGGGGGCAAGCGUUGUUCGGAAUUACUGGGCGUAAAGCGUGCGCAGGCGGUGAUGUAAGACAGAUGUGAAAUCCCCGGGCUCAACCUGGGACCUGCAUUUGUGACUGCAUCGCUGGAGUGCGGCAGAGGGGGAUGGAAUUCCGCGUGUAGCAGUGAAAUGCGUAGAUAUGCGGAGGAACACCGAUGGCGAAGGCAAUCCCCUGGGCCUGCACUGACGCUCAUGCACGAAAGCGUGGGGAGCAAACAGG
rnacentral:rRNA from 1 species